rnacentral:rRNA from 1 species
CCUACGGGCGGCAGCAGUAGGGAAUCUUCCACAAUGGGCGAAAGCCUGAUGGAGCAACGCCGCGUGGGUGAAGAAGGUCUUCGGAUCGUAAAACCCUGUUGUUAGAGAAGAACGAGCGUGAGAGUAACUGUUCACGUUUCGACGGUACCUAACCAGAAAGCCACGGCUAACUACGUGCCAGCCGCCGCGGUAAUACGUAGGUGGCAAGCGUUAUCCGGAAUUAUUGGGCGUAAAGGGAACGCAGGCGGUUUUGUAAGUCUGAUGUGAAAGCCUUCGGCUUAACCGGGGAGGUGCAUUGGAAACUGGGAGACUUGAGUGCAGAAGAGGAGAGUGGAACUCCAUGUGUAGCGGUGAAAUGCGUAGAUAUAUGGAAGAACACCAGUGGCGAAGGCGACUCUCUGGUCUGUAACUGACGCUGAGGUGCGAAAGCGUGGGUAGCAAACAGGAUUAGAUACCCGUGUAGUC